rnacentral:rRNA from 7 species
CCCGGGCUCAACCUGGGAACUGCAUUCGAAACUGGCAGGCUUGAGUCUUGUAGAGGGGGGUAGAAUUCCAGGUGUAGCGGUGAAAUGCGUAGAGAUCUGGAGGAAUACCGGUGGCGAAGGCGGCCCCCUGGACAAAGACUGACGCUCAGGUGCGAAAGCGUGGGGAGCAAACAGGAUUAGAUACCCUGGUAGUCCACGCCGUAAACGAUGUCUACUUGGAGGUUGUGCCCUUGAGGCGUGGCUUCCGGAGCUAACGCGUUAAGUAGACCGCCUGGGGAGUACGGCCGCAAGGUUAAAACUCAAAUGAAUUGACGGGGGCCCGCACAAGCGGUGGAGCAUGUGGUUUAAUUCGAUGCAACGCGAAGAACC